CUCGUUUUCUUCCACUUUUCCGACACCAGCUUUCUGGGUUUGAUUCUCUGCUCCAGGUGGCUUUGCUUUGGACUUGACAGUCUUUCCUUCCAGUCCAUUGGCCAUGAUUUGGUGAGAUUGAAGCUUAGGUUGGGACUUCCUAAUUGGGGUUUUUGAAGCGCCAUUAUCCUUGUUACCAUUUCUCUGAAUUCCCUUGGUUGGGUUGCUUGAUUCUUGGUUCAGACGUGGGCUGUGAGAAGCUCGUGGGCUAAAAGAAGAUCCACUGUCUUCCAAAGAGUUGUUCGUUAAAGUGGUGGAGCUCUUGCGCCUUCCAAGCUUCGGUGAUAUUGCACGAGUAGUUGGUAUCUAUAAGAAUUAGCACACAAAACUUUAUCCCGAUGUUCCAUAGAGAAGAUGGAGAAAAAAAAAACAAGGAAUCCAAAUGAAACAGGCAGAAGAAAUACACAUUAAAAUGCAGUUAAGCUAGAUAAACUUAGAAUUGAACUAGCAAGUGUGUUUUUUUGUGCAAAUAUAUUCACAUGUAUGUAGGAUGAGCCGCAGACAAUUGUCUCAUGUUGGCUUGAAUUCGUGAAGUUCCCCAAUUAUCAAUCGGAAUUGGCAACGAGGACUUGAGACUAGCACUGGAUUUCUGAUAUUCAUGUUCAAUAGCACACAAGCUGUUAAGGGUAGCUCCGUUUAUAGUUCAUGCAAUGUAGAAUGAAACUACGUGAACGUUCUUCUUUGGAAAAACAGAAGACAAAGCUCCUGAGUCAUAACAGAUAACCAUGACCGUAUGCUCUCUUCAACCUCCAGUCCUUUGGAAACUCCUACUGUUAGAGGAAAUCUCUCUUCAGUUACACAAUCAGCAGAGGAGGAUAUCUCUCUAACACCUACUUCUAUUUUGAAGCAAAGACAGAGACCAAUGGCUAUUUACAAGCCUUGGUAAGUCUUAGGCAUGUACCCAUCAAUUACGAUUGAAGUUCAGACCUUCAUCACGUUUUAAAAACACUGGGUGUCCCAUUUAUUUUUAUUUAUUUAUUUUUGACAAAAUCAGCAAGCAUUGCAGAGACGCCCUCACUAGCAAACGUCAACACCUUACCAUGCAAAAUAGACUCAUGAAUGCAAGAUCCUAAGCUAACGCAUCACCUGCAGUCCUAAAAAACAAUAAUUGCAAUUUGCAAAGGCCAAACGAAAGCCUAAAAACUGCACAAUCAUUUACUGUAUAAAUGCAUCGUCAUUAAAUAUGUCUGGUUACAAAUAAUUAGGGACUUCAAGAUUCAUUUAAAUUUUAGGCCACAUUUAGAAAACUCAAUUUAACAGGUACAGACAAACAAACAUGUCAACAGAACAUGUGGAUUUGAAACCACAGUUUACAAAUUUGUUAGUCCACAUAAUGUAGAUAGCAUUAGCAAAAACAUAAUGAGACAUUUGAAAAAAUAGUGAUAAUUUAAAGGCUUUUAAAGAGUUCAUUUGGUGUGCUUCUAAUCUUAAAGUUGAUGGAAUGCUGGUAAUGCGGAAUGCGAACAAAUGACAUGACAUUAUCGAUAGAUAUCUGACAGUUCAAGCAUUACCUUCUUUAGUUCUGCUUUUGGAGGAGGUUCU
rnacentral:lncRNA from 1 species